ensembl:lncRNA
GUGAUGAAAUGCAGGUGCCAGUGUGCACGAUGUUCUCGUCUCGGAUGCCAGGUCAGGAUUUCUCAACUCUUUUUGUGGUUCCGCUGUCACAGGACAUUAGCGGACGAGUCCAUUGUCUUUCACUUAAAGAUAACGGCCGCUGCGUCACUGUCCCUCACUCCACACUCACUUGUCCUCUGAGGACGGCGCAGAUGAAACAUUUAUUCCCCUCCGUCCUGACGCACACUCAAGGCUCAGAGGAAUUUGUGUAUUGUCUGGUGUCCAUUUUAAUGCUAAAAACAAACAGUGCUGUCCUAUACAUAUAGUACACUGCACGGAAAUAGGCUGAAACAUGCAGUGGGUAGGAUUAAAGGUGCAACAGGUAAAUUAAAGGUGCAGUGGGCAGAAUUAAAGGUGCAAUGGGUAGAAUUAAAGGUGCAAUGGGUAGAAUUAAAGGUACAAUGAUUAGAAUUAAAGGUGCAAUGGGUAGAUUAGAAUUAAAGGUGCAAUGGGUAGAAUGAAUGAUAAACGUGUAAAUUAAAGGUACAGUGGGUUGAAUUAAAAGUACAAUAGGUAAAUUAAAGGUGCAGUGGGUAGAAUGAAAGAAUAAAUGGGUAGAAUUAAAGGUGCAAUGGGAGAAUUAAAGGUGCAAUGGGUAGAAUUAAAGGUGCAAUGGGUAGAAUUAAAGGUACAAUGAUUAGAAUUAAAGGUGCAAUGGGUAGAAUGAAAGGAUAAACGUGUAAAUUAAAGGUACAGUGGGUUGAAUUAAAAGUACAAUAGGUAAAUUAAAGGUGCAAUGGGUAGAAUGAAAGAAUAAAUGGGUAGUAUUAAAGGUGCAAUGGGUCAAUUAAAGGUACAAUGGGUAGAAUUAAAGGUGCAAUAGGUAGAAUGAAAGAAUAAAUGGGUAGAAUUAAAGGUACUAUGGGUAGAAUUAAAGGUACAAUAGGUAAAUUAAAGGUACAAUGGGUAGGAUUAAAGGUACUAUGGGUAAAUUAAAGGUGCAGUGGGUAGAAUGAAAGAAUAAAUGGGUAGUAUUAAAGGUGCAAUGGGUCAAUUAAAGGUACAGUGGGUAGAAUGAAAGAAUAAAUGGGUAGAAUUAAAGGUACUAUGGGUAAAUUAAAGGUACAGUGGGUAGAAUGAAAGAAUAAAUGGGUAGAAUUAAAGGUGCAAUGGGUAGAAUGAAAGAAUAAAUGGGUAGACUUAAAGGUACUAUGGGUAAAUUAAAGGUGCAGUGGGU